CAAAAGAACUCUGUACAUGCUCUAAGAGAUCCCAUCCGAUCAGCACAGCAGUAGGAACCUCCUCAGAAAUAGCAACCUGCCACUGUCCUGACCAAUCUUGGAACUUAACAUGGAUCUCUGCCACUGCCUCGUUGGCAUUUUAUGGAACCUUUUGCCCCAGAGAAUUGAUGGCAAGCUGCAAGUCUGAUGUCUUUGGCACUGCUUUUUGGAGAUGUGAUCACCUGUCAGACUCAAAGGGUUCUCUCCUCCCCAGGCAGCAUCAAGGAUCAAAGAAGAAACAAGAAGACGCAUGUCGAAAAAGAAACAUAAAAGAAUUAAAUGAUAUAGACUUCCAACAGUUAUAGUCCUCAAAAAACCGAGCUGAAGAAGGCGUUUACUCCGAAACAGGGCCCUGUCCUGGUCACCA